UACAGAGGUCUCAAGCGUUGUUCGGAUUCAUUGGGCGUAAAGGGUGCGUAGGCGGCGCGGUAAGUCGGGUGUGAAAUCUCGGAGCUUAACUCCGAAACUGCAUUCGAUACUGCCGUGCUUGAGGACUGGAGAGGAGACUGGAAUUUACGGUGUAGCGGUGAAAUGCGUAGAUAUCGUAAGGAAGACCAGUGGCGAAGGCGGGUCUCUGGACAGUUCCUGACGCUGAGGCACGAAGGUCAGGGGGAGC
rnacentral:rRNA from 1 species